AGCUCCAAUAGCGUAUAUUAAAGUUGUUGCGGUUAAAAAGCUCGUAGUUGGAUUUCUGUCGAAGACGGCCGGUCCGUUCUAUGAACGUGCAUCUGGUUCGGCUUUGGCAUCCUCGUGGAGAACGUAGCUGUGCUUCGUUGCAUGGCACGGUAUGCGCGACUUUUACUUUGAGGAAAUUAGAGUGUUCACGGCAGGCAAGCGCCUUGAAUAUAUUAGCAUGGAAUAAUAACAUAGGACUUCGGUUUUAUUUUGUUGGUUUCUAGAACUGAAGUAAUGAUUAAUAGGGAUAAUUGGGGGCAUUUGUAUUAACGCGUCAGAGGUGGAAUUCUUGGAUUUGUUAAAGACGGACUACUGCGAAAGCAUUUGCC
rnacentral:rRNA from 1 species